CUGUUGCCUAAUGCAGUAUGGUCCAUGU
rnacentral:piRNA from 1 species